GUAAGACGUAGGGAGCAAGCGUGUCCGGAUUUACUGGGCGUAAAGAGCGCGUAGGCGGUCUGUUAAGUGAGAAGUGAAAUCUCAGGGCUCAACCCGGAAACUGCUUUUCAUACUGGCAGACUUGAGUGAUGCAGAGGUAUGUGGAAUUCCCGGUGUAGCGGUGAAAUGCAUUGAUAUCGGGAGGAACACCCAUGGCGAAGGCAGCAUACUGGGCAUCAACUGACGCUGAGGCGCGAAAGCGUGGGUAGCAAACAGGAUUAGAUACCCUGGUAGUCCACGCCCUAAACGAUGGAUACUAGGCGUAAGAGGUAUCGACCCCUCUUGUGCCGCAGCUAACGCAUUAAGUAUCCCGCCUGGGGAGUACGGCCGCAAGGUUGAAACUCAAAUGAAUUGACGGGGACCCGUACAAGCGGUGGAGCAUGUGGAUUAAUUCGAUACUAACCGAAGAACCUUACCCAGACUUGACAUCGAUUGAAAACCCAGGAAACUGGGUCCUCCCCACAAGGGACAUGAAGACACUUGUUGCAUGGCUGUCGUCAGCUCGUGCCGUGAGGUGUACGGUUAAGUCCGCCAACGAGCGCAACCCUCGUCCUGUGUUACCAGCAUGAAAGAUGGGGACUCACAGGAGACCGCCGGUGUAAGCCGGAGGAAGGUGAGGAUGACGUCAAGUCAGCAUGGCAGUUACGUCUGGGGCUUCACACAUGCUACAAUGGGCGCAACAAAGGGCAGCGAUACCGCGAGGUGGAGCCAAUCCCAAAAAUACGCCCCAGUUCAGAUUGCAGUCUGCAACUCGACUGCAUGAAGGCGGAAUCGCUAGUAAACGCAGGUCAGCUAUACUGCGUUGAAUACGUUCCCGGGUCUUGUACACACCGCCCGUCAAGUCACCUGAAUUGUCUUCACCCGAAGUC
rnacentral:rRNA from 1 species